GGGGUUGUGGCUCAGUGGUAGAGUGCUCGCCUAGUAUGUGUGAGGCUCUGGGUUUGAUUCUCAGUGCCA
rnacentral:tRNA from 1 species